GAUGAACGCUAGCGAUAGGCUUAACACAUGCGAGUCGAGGGGUAACGUGUUGGAAGCUUGCUUCCGAUGACGACGACCGGCGGAUGGGUGCGUAACGCGUAUGCAACUUGCCUCACAGUGGAGAAUAACCCGGAGAAAUCCGGACUAAUACUCCAUACACUCUUAAGUACGCCUGUACAUGAGAGGAAAGAUUUAUCGCUGUGAGAUAGGCAUGCGUCCUAUUAGGUAGUUGGUGAGGUAACGGCUCACCAAGCCGACGAUAGGUAGGGGUGCUGAGAGGCAGAUCCCCCACAUUGGGACUGAGACACGGCCCAAACUCCUACGGGAGGCAGCAGUGAGGAAUAUUGGUCAAUGGAGGAAACUCUGAACCAGCCAAGUCGCGUGAAGGAAGAAUGUCCUAAGGAUUGUAAACUUCUUUAGCGAGCGAGUAAGGACUUCCACGUGAUGGGAGUUUGAAAGUAGCUCGAGAAUAAGUAUCGGCUAACUCCGUG
rnacentral:rRNA from 1 species